rnacentral:rRNA from 1 species
GGCCCCGCUGUACCGUAGAGUAGUAGUGACGUCGAGCGACUGAUUAGAAUCUUGCUUCUAUGACGUUAGCGGCGGACGGGUGAGUAUCACGUGGGCUACCUGCCUGUAAGACUGGGAUAACUUCGGGAAACCGAAUCUAAUACCGGAUAUGAUCUUCUCCUUCAUGGGAGAAGAUUGAAAGAUGGUUUCGGCUAUCACUUACAGAUGGGCCCGCGGUGCUUUAGCUUGUUGGUGAGGUUCGGCUCUCAAGGCAGCGAUGCAUAGCGGACCUGAGAGGGUGAUCGGCCACUCUGGGACUGAGACACGGCCCAUACUCCUACGGGAGGCCGCAGUAGGGAAUCUUCCGCAAUGGAUUAAAGUCUGACGGAGCUUCGCCGCGUGAGUGAUGAAGGCUUUGGGGUCUUUCAACUCUUUGUUAGGGAAUAACAAGUACGACAGUAACUGCUCGUACCUUGACGGUACCUAACCAUAACCCACAGCUAACUACGUGCCAAGAUUCGCGGUAAUACGUAGGUGGCAUACGUUUUCCGGAAUUAUUGGGCGUAAAUCGCGCGCAGGCGGUUUCUUACCUCUGAUGUCAUAGCCCUCGGCUCAACCGUGGAGGGUUCUUGCAAGCUGGGGAACUUGAGUGUGAAAUAGAAAAGCGGAAUUCCACGUGUAUCGGAGAAAUGCGUAUACAUGUGGAGGAACACCAGUUGCGAAGGCACCUUUUUGGUCUGUGCUGACGCCUGAGGCGCGAACACGUGGGGAGCAACACGAUUAGAUACCCCUGGUACUCCGCGGCUUCCCCGAUGAUUGCUAAGUGUUAGAGGGUAUUCCGCCCUUUCCGCUGCUCCUCACGCAUUUAAAGCUCCGCCUGGCGCAAUACGCUCUCCAGACUGAA